UGAAAGUUUGAUUUCAUAUUUGGUCACCCUC
rnacentral:piRNA from 1 species